CUGCACCUGUGCAUGGCUGUCAUGAGCGAGCGUGUGUGUGUGUGUGUGUGUGUGUGUGUGUGUGUGUCCUACACAUGCUCCAGUGCUCUCACACCGCCGUCCUCUCCGUCUGCUCCUCCUGGGGUCUCCUGCUCACCUUCAUGCAGGUGAGUGAUGGACGAAAGCACCUUUGAGACAUUUGAGGAAGAGCUUGGUAAACCACUGCAAGAGGUUCCUCCUCAGAAACCUGUCAGACAAACACGAACAGGAGGCAGAACAGAGAUGUAUGCUCAGAGGAGGGUGCGAGAGGAAGCUCCAAUCGUCCAGCAGGUCCCAAAGAUGAUUCCACGGGAACAUCCGGUCUCCAGCGCCACAGCGUCGUUACGCAAAGCGUUCUCCAUCCAGAAUCUGACGCAGAUCGAGACACCGUGGGAAGGUGUGACGCUGAACAGGUGUCUGAUAGCAGCCAUAACCAUCCUUCUGCUGAGCUCCGUUUUACAGAGAAUACACGAAGCCGUCAGAGGCCGCAAAGACGUCAGUGAAGAGCUCAUAGCACUAAACGAGAGACAUACUCUGAUUAAAAGAGGGAAAAUAACACCACAUGAGCCAGACACUUCCUUAUGGGAAACAUUUUUCUGGUGGAUUGAUGAUGAUGAUGACGAAGGCAAAUCUAAGAGAGCGACUCGUGGGAGAGUUUCCAGGGGCCUCAGGCACCGGGCCCUUCCGGACCCCAGGCUCUUGAAGAAAAGAGAGACAAAAUUCACCGAGCGCAGAAGAAGACACGAAGUAGAUGAGACUAAAGAGAAACUGACAAAAGAGGAAGAGAUGAAAGUCAAGAAGAAGGUCGAAGAAGAGGAGGAGGACAUAGAGAAGAUGAAUAAACCGAAGAAACCAGCGAAAGAGAGCAAGCGAAAACCUAUGAAGAAAGAGAAUCAGUGACGUACCAACGCAUAAAGAAAAUAGGGCUGAUGGCAUAUGUGCUUAAAUUAUCAUGAAAAUAAUGCUAAAUAAUCUUAAUGGUCCUAAAAUGAUUACAUGUUUUCUUUUGAUUACAGGCUGAAAUAUUAUACACUCUCAGAUCUUGAUGCACUUCUCUAGUCAGUUGAUGAUCAUGUGUAUAAUUUGGUGCUUUUUUGCUUUGUAAAGUCCAUAUUUUUCAGAGACUUGAUAGUAACUUUACUGAAACCAUAAACCCCUCGAGACUUUUUUUACGACUGCAAGUAAAACUCACAAACAUUAUAUUCUAAUAGAGGACGUUAAGUUUCAGAUGCCACUGAAAUCACUGGUUACUGUCAGGUGAGAAUGAGAUCAAGAGGUUGCAUUAACAAGAAUUGGUUUAUAUCAAUGCAAGUUUAUUUUAAAUGUUUAAAACAAUAGUUAAGCGACAUUAUAAAGUAAUGCAAUG
rnacentral:lncRNA from 1 species